rnacentral:rRNA from 1 species
UGGGCAUGCGGCGCAUUAGCUAGACGGCGGGGUAACGGCCCACCGUGGCGACGAUGCGUAGGGGUUCUGAGAGGAAGGUCCCCCACACUGGUACUGAGACACGGACCAGACUCCUACGGGAGGCAGCAGUGAGGAAUAUUGGUCAAUGGGAGAGAUCCUGAACCAGCCAAGCCGCGUGAGGGAAGACGGCCCUAUGGGUUGUAAACCUCUUUUGUCGGAGAACAAAACCCGGGACGUGUCCCGGACUGCGUGUAUCCGAAGAAAAAGCAUCGGCUAACUCCGUGCCAGCAGCCGCGGUAAUACGGAGGAUGCGAGCGUUAUCCGGAUUUAUUGGGUUUAAAGGGUGCGUAGGCGGUCCGUUAAGUCAGCGGUAAAAUUGCGGGGCUCAACCCCGUCGAGCCGUUGAAACUGGCAGACUUGAGUUGGCGAGAAGUACGCGGAAUGCGCGGUGUAGCGGUGAAAUGCAUAGAUAUCGCGCAGAACUCCGAUUGCGAAGGCAGCGUACCGGCGCCAGACUGACGCUGAGGCACGAAAGCGUGGGGAUCGAACAGGAUUAGAUACCCUGGUAGUCCACGCAGUAAACGAUGAAUGCUGGUUGUCCGGGUCGAAUGAGACCUGG